ACCACAAACACAGCAGGAAAGAGAAGAGAAAAUGAGAUUAGUAGUCAUCCUCCCCAAAACACCAACAGAUUAAAUCCAACCACUAGAUCAAAACCGCAGGAGCUUGGCAGAGCUAGUUUUCUGACAUCUUCCUGUGCUUUUACACUGAUGAGAAGAGUACCUGAGAAGAGCACAUUUCAGGCUUCUGUGGUCAACGGGAGCUCCCACAGAGAUGGAUGUAUCUCAAACUAUGAAGCUGCCUUGGGGAACACUGGACACCGCUUAGCAUGAAGCUGAGGGGAGACUGCAAGCAGCAAGUCAUGGAAGACAGGAACCCAGAUCUGCUUUAGACCACGAACGAACUUAUGUAGAAGGUUUCCAAGGAAAAGAGUCAGAUGUCUGCAGAAAGCAAUUACCUGUCAGCUAAUACAGAGGCAAGAACUGUCGAAGGGGCACCAUACCUCAUCACCUACCUCACAUGCAGUAGCUCUGUCUUUUCUGCACAGAGAACUUCAGCGGAGCCCAGCAGGUGUGCAGCAGUUCCGGCUGCCCGCAAUGCUUCUCCUGAAGCCAUCAAUGCUGCCACCUCCUGGCAUAAACGGAGAUUUACAGCAACAGGUUUAAAUGACAUUUAGUGCAUUAUAUGCUUUACUGCAGCUGCUGGUACAGAAAAUUUUCUUAGGUAGUUGUUUUCAUUCUGAGUUUAUUCCAUUCGCUAUUUUUUGUUGCAGUACUAGCGAUGAAGCGAUGGUUCUCAUUUGGCUGGUAAGCAGAAAAACCUCGGAGAAACGUACAUGGCAGAGCACCAUUAAAAACUAUUCCUUCUUUUUAAGAAAGUAUGAGCUAUAGAUCUUUCAUACAUUUUGCAGAACUCAGCAUUUAAUCACGACUAAAUCCGACCAGGCAUAAGCAGCAGUUUUCCUAAGAUUUUGCACUUUUAUCUAACACCACCCCCAAUCCAAAUUCACUCCUGACCUAGGAUACUAGGUUGGAGUACUCACCAAUUCAUCUAUUGCAUUUCCAUCUGAUACAUUCUAAGUUAAAACACUCCCUGACUACUUGCAACUCUGCAAGCAUGUCUUGCUUUCAUUUGUCAGAGAAACUUUUUGUCAAUUGUUUAAUAAAGUAUAUUUCAGAAAACUUAUAAACUGACAUGCAUGACCACUGACGUAUGAGACUAGCAGGAGGAAGGUUAAGGUAGCUCAUCUAAAUAUGUUUAUAAAGGGUCCUGGUGAGUUUUUUGGAGCUUAAACUGAGUUGCUCUUUACUCCAAAAAUAAAUUUUCUGCAAUGAAAACAUGAACCUUUAAUAUUAAAUUUUAAAAGUUACUUACCACUUUUUGUUAAUAAAUCUAGCAUUCCUAUGGUUGGCUUAGGGUGCAUACAUUAGAAUCUUACAUUCUACUUCAAGAUUUUUGGACACGCAACUGCCAGUGAAUAGCAAGUUAAUACAUUUCUGGGAUGUCUGUAACGUUGAAUUGCAAAUGAAUAAGCUCUCACUUAUGUUUGAGGCUUGAAGGGAUACAGCUGUGUGUACUUUACACGAGAACAUCACAAUAAUUCCAGGGAGGAGUAAAUUGCCAAUGCAUUCUCUUAACUUAGGUAAUGGAAAACAAACCAGUUCAAAGUUUGAGUCUCGUCUUCCCAACUGAAUAUAUCUGAUGUGAAUAUAUCUGAUGUGCAUAGCAACGUAAUGGAAAAUAUGCUCUUCUAAAAUUAGUCUGAACGAUUAAUGCAAUGACUAAAUAAUUCUGAAGCCUGAGAGAUAAAAAGAAACUGAAUCCAACAGGAGAAUAAGUACUUAUUAAUACAAACUCUACUACCAUACAAGAGACUUACCACUGCUAGCUCUGUAAGGAAAAUAUAUUUUGGCUAAACUCAGUAUCUUCUUAAGCAGGUGCAACUCCAUGGGAACCACUGUAAGUGCACAUGCUGAACUAGGACGAAUCUAUUUUCUCCUACUUCAUUCACAUUAUGUAUUUAAAACAAAGAAACAGAAUUUUUAAACAAAAGACAGAUGAUACAUUCCAUUCUUCCCUAUUUACACCAGUGGGAGUUCUGCACACAGAAUUUAUUUCUUUUGCCAUCAACAGUCGCACACACAACCUUGAGUAUGCUAGCUGCUUGCUGGCAUUCAUUUGACUGAGAAGAUUGGAAAAAUGUGCUAAUAGCCAAAAAUUACAGCAUAACAAUCAAAAUUAAAAAAAAACAACACCCUUAACAAAAAACAAGAUAGGUUUGAGCCAACAACCAGCCACUGCUGCAGCUGCUGGGAACUCUUUGCUAUCUUAAAGAAAACGAAUAGUCUCUGAACGUGAAAACUAAAACCACAUAAACAUAGAAGUAGUAGGAAAAAAAGGCAUCUUGAGAAACAAAGCCCAGAAAAGAGCAUCUUUAAACAACAGCAGCAUGGACUUUUCCUCAAAUAUACACCAACUAAGCGAUGCACACUAAGCAGGAACUGAUGAACACUGUAAAGAAACAAGUCUGAAGUUAAGGGGCCAGUAAGCCAGAGAUUUUGAAGACAGUUAUGAUUCAUUUGUACUAAAGACUAAUUGUCAGGUGCACGGCUGUUGCGAUAGAAGGAAUUUGACUCAUUCUCAUAAAACAAAAGGCCUUUAACAUUAGUCCUCUAAAUUCUUUGCGGCAAAACCACAGGAAUGAUUUGUAAUGAAACAGCAACUGGAAGCUGCAUUAGAUUUCCAGAUAAGGCAGUUAGGGAAGAAGUACUUUACUUUUAGAAAACGUAUCUGAGCUGCAGUGAAAGGACAAGAAGCUGCUUUUAGAAGCAAAGCACACUAGCUUACCCAUGUGAUUAUACCAGAACUAUUCAAUAUAAGAAAACGUUUAGUAAAAAUUUUAUUUGAAACAUAGCAUGUAUCCAUAACCACGUGUUACAGCAUACAGUUUUACAGAGAAUUUGUACAAUAUGACAAGUAUUUUUAUACAUGCGGCAUCCCCCCGCCCCCAUUUUUUAGUCAUCAGACAAAAAGAGUUAAACAGGAAUAAUAAGCAUUCACUUCUAAAAAGAAACUUUGGCAUGUAUACAACUGGAUAGUUAAAAGUAAACAGUGGUAGAUUCAAGUCAGAGACGCACAUUGUUGUAACUUUUCUUCACAGCAUUUUGAUCAGCAUUAACCUCACCAGCACUAUUUUCUAGUUAAUACAAAAAUGAUUAUUCAGUCCAGAACCCCCUGUUAAGGGGCAAAAAGAGUUAAUAGAGAUGUAAAAGAACCAACUUUUAACUCUAAAAAUAACAGUUUUAAAGCAGUUCAGGCCACACAUUUUGCACUCCUUGGUUUGGUCAUGAACAGAACAAAACCUUUAAUGGACUGCUCAUAUUACUGAACUAUACAUCACUUGGCACAACUGGCAGGGUCUCCUUUGGACUAGAAUGAGUAUUGUUGGUUCAAAAGUCACGCGCAUUGCUGGAGUGUAAGAAUAAAGGAAAGCAGAAUUUGCACUGUGCCCAUCUUCUGUCUUGAGUUUCUGUCACUGCUAUUGGUCACUUACAUACCUACCAAAUUCAUCCAAACCAAAGGGAAAACAAUUUGCAAGGCCUUUCUUCCUGGCAUACAGCAGACAGUACUUCCACUUUAAAAAUCUGAAAACAAUGAAAGGACUCCUAAAUACUAAGACACAACAAGCCUCCUUUGAAAGAGCUACUUGCAAUUCUUCAAGUAUUUAGAAAAAAUACAGUAUUUAUAUAACUUCUCCAGAACUAUUAUAAUUAACAUAUUUUUAUGUAGUACUAAUUGAAAACAAAUACAGAGAUACAAAUGGGUGAGCUUCUAAGCAGGAGCAACUGAUGUUUAAAUUUUGCUGCAAUUUCAUUAUUGCUGUGGAAUAGACAGUGGUUAAAUCCUGUGAACAGUAGCCUCUCUCUUAUGCACAUCAAAGUAUCUUAUUUGAAAAAAUGUCCUCCAGCAAGUCAGAACACAUUUGAUACAAUUUUUAGAGAUCCUGCUAAAUGUCAGAGAUCCAAAGUUGACUGAACCAUGGUGCAACAGGGCACAAGUGGCAGAAGAGCAGUGGAGUAGAGGCAUGAAUGGCAGAAAAACAGUAAACACAAGUCAGACUCAUACUCACUACUUCUUAUUCCGAGGCUUUAACUCUUCUGCUGCAUUUCGCAGAAAAAUGUAGUUUUUCUUUUGUGGGUUAUAAAAUUCAUGACCCUAAAAAAAAGAAAAACCAUCUCUGUUUACUUUCUUCAAAGAGAAAAUACUAACAUUACAAUUUAAGGGACAUUUGUCUACAAAUCC